rnacentral:rRNA from 1 species
UACGUAGGUGGCAAGCGUUGUCCGGAUUUAUUGGGCGUAAAGCGCGCGCAGGUGGUGCGGUAAGUCUGCCGUGAAAUCUCCCGGCUCAACUGGGAGGGGGCGGUGGAGACUGCCGGACUGGAGGGACCUAGAGGCCGGUGGAAUUCCCGGUGGAGUGGUGAAAUGCGUAGAGAUCUGGAAGAACACCAAAGGCGAAGGCAGCAUCCUGGGAAGUUCCUGACGCUCGGGUGCGAAAGCCAGGGGAGCGAACGGG